CUGCAGCACUGGGGUGCUCGCUGUCAGGGUGCUGGAGGAGAAGAGCUGGAGAGCUGGCUGCAGAGAGAAGAAACAGGAGCUUAGGUGUGGCCAAUGGCAGCUUCACAGGAGGCUAGGUUUGCCGGCUUGCUUUUACAUUUUUGAGGAGGAGGGCUCAAAAAGGAAAACAAUGAAGCAGAACCAGGGCGAGUUCUCCUGUGCCUAGCUUACGAGACAAAGAAGAGCAGUGGGCAUCUCAAAUCCAACUCAUUCAUUGGGUGAGUGUUUUCGUUUCGUUCCCUGUGGUUUACGACAUUUCCUUAUUUGUGGUUGGUACCCCUUCGUGGUCAGCCACAAGCCCUUCUAUCCUGGAAUAUCAGAGUCUUGGAAUUCUUUAUCUCCCCACUCCGUGUCUGUAAGAUGGCAGCCUUCCUUAUGUACUGCAAAGCUCUUCCUCUCUCUCCAGCCCUGAUUCAGAAGGGGGUCCCACCUGCUGGGUCUGAACAUCCAGCACAGGCAAGAGUCUGAGGAGCAAGACGGGAUCCUGCAGGUGAGCCUGGAGGACCAGCGCCCUGACCCAAGCAGUGGCUGCCUCAGGCCCCGCUCAGGGUGUGAGGAAUGGUAUGGUGAACAAGACAGAGAAGCCGCCAGUCCUGAAGCUCACGGUGGGGAGGCGCCGUGGACUUGGAGGAGUACUGGACACCCCCUGAGGUCCAGCACACGGGCUCCCCAGCAACGAGACGCACGUCAGAUGAUGACUACGUGACCAGAUUAAGACCAGACCCGAGACAGUUAACAGUGUGGUUUUGAUAACGCACAACAAAAAGUUUUUACUGGC
rnacentral:lncRNA from 1 species